GACGAACGCUGGCGGCGUGCCUAAUACAUGCAAGUCGAACGCUUCUUUCCUCCCGAGUGCUUGCACUCAAUUGGAAAGAGGAGUGGCGGACGGGUGAGUAACACGUGGGUAACCUACCCAUCAGAGGGGGAUAACACUUGGAAACAGGUGCUAAUACCGCAUAACAGUUUAUGCCGCAUGGCAUAAGAGUGAAAGGCGCUUUCGGGUGUCGUUGAUGGAUGGACCCGCGGUGCAUUAGCUAGUUGGUGAGGUAACGGCUCACCAAGGCCACGAUGCAUAGCCGACCUGAGAGGGUGAUCGGCCACACUGGGACUGAGACACGGCCCAGACUCCUACGGGAGGCAGCAGUAGGGAAUCUUCGGCAAUGGACGAAAGUCUGACCGAGCAACGCCGCGUGAGUGAAGAAGGUUUUCGGAUCGUAAAACUCUGUUGUUAGAGAAGAACAAGGACGGUAGUAACUGAACGUCCCCUGACGGUAUCUAACCAGAAAGCCACGGCUAACUACGUG
rnacentral:rRNA from 1 species